rnacentral:tRNA from 1 species
UAAAUUAUAGUUUAUAUAGAACCUCUUACUUACACUAAGAAAGACUUCAACAAAGUGAUUUAU